AUACGGAGGGUGCGAGCGUUAUUCGGAAUCACUGGGCGUAAAGGGUGCGUAGGCGGUUUGAUAAGUCUGAUGUGAAAUCCUAUGGCUCAACCAUAGAACUGCAUUGGAAACUGUCAGACUAGAAUACUGAAGGGGCAGAUGGAAUUAGUGGUGUAGGGGUAAAAUCCGUAGAUAUCACUAGGAAUACCGAAAGCGAAAGCGAUCUGCUGGGAAGUUAUUGACGCUGAGGCACGAAAGCGUGGGGAGCAAACGGGAUUAGAUACCCUAGUAGUCC
rnacentral:rRNA from 1 species